rnacentral:misc_RNA from 1 species
GAUGAAGAACGCAGCGAAAUGCGAUAAGUAAUGUGAAUUGCAGAAUUCAGUGAAUCAUCGAAUCUUUGAACGCACAUUGCGCCCCCUGGUAUUCCGGGGGGCAUGCCUGUCCGAGCGUCAUUACAACCCUCAAGCUCAGCUUGGUGUUGGGCCCCGCCGCCCCGGCGGGCCCUAAAGUCAGUGGCGGUGCCGUCCGGCUCCGAGCGUAGUAAUUCUUCUCGCUCUGGAGGUCCGGUCGUGUGCUCGCCAGCAACCACCAAUUUUUUUCAGGUUGACCUCGGAUCAGGUAGGGAUACCCGCUGAACUUAAGCAUAUCAAUAAGCGGAGGA